rnacentral:tRNA from 1 species
UCCUCGAUAGCUCAGCGGUAGAGCAGCAGACUGUUAAUCUGUUGGUCCGUGGUUCGAUCCCACGUCGAGGAG